CGGCGGCGGGCGGCUGUGAGCGGGGGCUGGUUCCUAGUCCCCGGGAGAAGCCAAGAAGCCUGCCAGGGACGUGCUAGCUGCCUUGCCAAGAGCUAUCCUGGGAGGGAUAUUGAAAGAGCCUCGAGGGAUCCUUGCAACAUGAUAUCACAUGAGUCUGUGAGACCUCUUGCAAAGGAUGUCUGGGACAGGGUGCCUGGCCCUCAGACUGUUCAUCACCUACCUGACACAGGAAGCUCACCUGUGCUUGCUGGCAAUGAGGAACUCUACAGUCACUUUUCCUCUGUGGGGUGA
rnacentral:lncRNA from 1 species